rnacentral:tRNA from 1 species
GUUGUGGCUCAGGGGUAGAGCACUUGCCUAGCAUGUGUAAGGCACUGGGUUCAAUCCUCAGCACCACA